rnacentral:rRNA from 1 species
UACGUAGGUGACAAGCGUUGUCCGGAUUUACUGGGCGUAAAGAGCGCGCAGGCGGUCGUUCAAGUCGAGUGUGAAAGCCCCCGGCUCAACUGGGGAGGGUCACUCGAUACUGAUCGACUCGAAGGCAGGAGAGGGAAGUGGAAUUCCCGGUGUAGUGGUGAAAUGCGCAGAUAUCAGGAGGAACACCGGUGGCGAAGGCGGUUCUCUGGGCCUGUACUGACGCUGAGGAACGAAAGCGUGGGGAGCGAACAGG